ACAUUGGUGGUUUACUGUAGAAUUCUUGCCUUCCAUGCGAGAGACUUGGGUUCAAAUCCCAGCCAACACA
rnacentral:tRNA from 1 species